GAAGGCUUUCGGGUUGUAAAGCACUUUAAGUAAGGAGAAAAAGAUUGUAGUUAAUACCUGCAAUCCGUGAUGUUACUUACAGAAUAAGGACCGGCUAAUUCCGUGCCAGCAGCCGCGGUAAUACGGAAGGUCCAAGCGUUAAUCGGAAUUACUGGGCGUAAAGCGCGCGUAGGUGGUUUUUUAAGUUGGAUGUGAAAGCCCUGGGCUCAACCUAGGAACUGCAUCCAAAACUAGAUGACUAGAGUACGAAAGAGGGAAGUAGAAUUCACAGUGUAGCGGUGGAAUGCGUAGAUAUUGUGAAGAAUACCAAUGGCGAAGGCAGCUUCCUGGUUCAGUACUGACACUAAGGUGCGAAAGCGUGGGUAGCGAACAGGAUUAGAUACCCUGGUAGUCCACGCCGUAAACGAUGACGACUAGCUGUUGGGAGACAAGAUCUCUCAGUGGCGCAGCUAACGCUU
rnacentral:rRNA from 1 species